GCAAACAGCGAAACGAGCUCGAGGAA
rnacentral:piRNA from 1 species